rnacentral:rRNA from 1 species
GAGAGGACCUGGGUGGACGAACCUCUGGUAUGCCAGUUGUCGCGCCAGCGGCAUGGCUGGUUGGCCACGUUCGGGAGGGAUAACCGCUGAAAGCAUCUAAGCGGGAAGCCCGCUCCAAGAUAAGGAUUCCUAACCACCCCUCGAGGUGGUGGCAGACCCCAGGUAGAACACCUGGUCGAUAGACCGGACGUGGAAGCCGCGCGAGCGGUGGAGCUGACCGGCACUAACGGUCGAAACACAAACCCGU